rnacentral:rRNA from 1 species
AAUAGUAAGUUCUUAGUGGCCAUUUUUGGUAAGCAGAACUGGCGAUGUGGGAUGAACCAAACGUAAAGUUAAAGUGCCUAAAAAUACGUUCAUCAGAUACCACAAAAGGUGUUGAUUCAUCUUGACAGUUGGACAGUGGCCAUGGAAGUCGGAAUCUGCUAAGGAGUGUGUAACAACUCACCAACCGAAUGAAUUAGCCCUGAAAAUGGAUGGCGCUUAAACGUAUUACUUAUACUUUACCAUUAGAAUAAAUGCUAAAUUCUAAUGAGUAGGAGGGCGUAUGGAUAACUUUAGAAGACUGAUAGUAAUAUUGGUUGGAAUUAUCUUUAGUGCAGAUCUUGGUGGUAGUAGCAAAUAUUCAAUAGAGAACAUUGAAGACUGAAGUGGAGAAAGGUUUCACAUGAACAACACUUGGAUGUGAGUUAGUCGAUCCUAAACGGUGGGUUAACUCCAAAUACAUGAAUACUUGUAUUCUGUACCGUGAAAGGGAAACAGGUUAAUAUUCCUGUACUAUAUCAAGGAGGU